rnacentral:tRNA from 1 species
UGGCUCAGUUGGUAGAGCAUGGUGUUUGCAAUGCCAGCAUGGUGUGUGCAAUGCCAGCAUGGUGUGUGCAACGCCAGGGUUGUGGGUUCAAUUCCCAC